rnacentral:rRNA from 1 species
AGUGAACGCUGGCGGUAGGCCUAACACAUGCAAGUCGAACGGCAGCACAGUAAGAGCUUGCUCUUACGGGUGGCGAGUGGCGGACGGGUGAGGAAUACAUCGGAAUCUACUUUUUCGUGGGGGAUAACGUAGGGAAACUUACGCUAAUACUGCAUACGACCUACGGGUGAAAGCAGGGGAUCUUCGGACCUUGCGCGAUUGAAUGAGCCGAUGUCGGAUUAGCUAGUUGGCGGGGUAAAGGCCCACCAAGGCGACGAUCCGUAGCUGGUCUGAGAGGAUGAUCGGCCACACUGGAACUGAGACACGGUCCAGACUCCUACGGGAGGCAGCAGUGGGGAAUAUUGGACAAUGGGCGCAAGCAUGAUCCAGCCAUGCCGCGUGGGUGAAGAAGGCCUUCGGGUUGUAAAGCCCUUUUGUUGGGAAAGAAAAGCAGCAGGUUAAUACCCCGCUGUUCUGACGGUACCCAAAGAAUAAGCACCGGCUAACUUCGUG